GCCAUUUCCAUUGAAUCAUUGCCGUUGACGUUGAACCGUUGCCGUUGCCAUUGAAGCGUUGCAAAAAAAAUACCGAUGAACCCAAACCAUUGCCGUUGCCAUUGCCAUUUCCGUUGAAGCAUUGUCGUUGCCGUUGAUCGGACCAUUCGCGACAAUUUGGAAUCGAAUGGGUCUAUCCAGCUGGCUUUCUUUAUGGAUAUUCUGCAAUUCAGUAUGUUACAGGAGGAGAGGUCUAUCUAGCUCAGAUCGUAGAUCGGUCAUCAGAGAUCGCAGAUCACUCUGCCUCUGCUUCGGUAACGGUGCUCAUUGCUCCCUCCGGCAGUCCGGCCCUCCCUCAAGGUUUGGGAUCAUGAUAAUUGGCAGUGUUUUACGAUAUUGGUUCACUGGAUAAGAAUUUGUUCUCUGGUUCAUUGGAUUGCGUGAUAAAAGUUUGGUCUUCUACAGCGAAGAACAAGCUAAAUACACAUUGUUUGCAAUAACUUUGGAUUUUUUCUAAAAGUUGUAAGCUUAGCUUGAGCAAAGUAAGUAAAUUUUAGUUGAAACCUUCCUCUUCUGUAGUAACCACUGCCUCAUCUAGUUCCUCGGUGGUGUAUAUUCAUCGGUUAGAAAGUGAGAUAAUUGAGCUCAAAGAGGCAAGAGCUAGGGAAGAAGAGGAGCGAGCUAAGCAAGAUGAGGUCCAAAAGAAUAUUCUUAAUUUUUUGAGGAGCAAGGGUUAUGAUGAUGCUUUUACCUAUGGAGGUGGUUCAUCUUCAAGCUAAAUCACUUAUUGAUUUCUUAUUGGUGGCUUUAGGGGAUUUCCUUUAGGCAUUAUUUGAAGACAUAUGAGGACAUCUUCCGUUAGUUCUAAUUAUAUUAUGCUACAUUUUUUGUAUUGUUAUAAAACA